UGAACUUUAAAUACAAUUUCC
rnacentral:piRNA from 1 species